rnacentral:rRNA from 1 species
AUGGUUGGCUCUAAGCGAGGGAUAGAUAUGUAUUCCAUUAUUCUACUGGAAUAUGACAUGAGGAUCAAGGCAGGCAGAGUAGAAGAUGAUGAUCACCAGCUGAUUGACGGUGUAUCAGCCCUAAGCGACCUGCAAGGCACAUGGAAUCGUGCAUUCAGAAAACGCAUCCAUGGCGAUUGCGGCGCGGUUGACCUAGUGUUAGCACGCAUCCAUGAUGCGGUCCUGGCGAAUGUGGAAGUUGUCAUAUCAGAGGUGCAGAACAGUUUCAAUUUGUGUCUCCGAUGUUCCAUUGGUGGUUAUAAAAAGCAAAUCCGGCUCUUCGAUGGCGCCAUUGGCGAGUCACGUGGCUUAAAGAGGUCUGUGGUUGUUGUAGUGGAUGGAUCCACUAUGGAUUUGAAGUUCGAGGUUGCCUCGGAGCCAUCCUGUUCAGCGGAGCACCGUCGUUCCUUCAAGGCGCGCACGCAUGGGCUUGAUACUCGAGAGAUAAAGACUGAAUUUGGGUUGAUCUCAGUGAAGGUGGCUUGGUCGACUCUGCUUUCCACCUAG